AGCUUUAUAGUAGCAAUCGUUUCUUUUUUAUUUUAAUAUACUUUAGGAAACACUAUACAAAGCUGAGCUUUCCUGUUGUUUCUGUUAACAGCAGGAAAUUCAAUGACACAAACUGUUUGUGAUGCUAAGAACAACAGUCAGCACCAGACUUGAAAAGUUAGGUACAACACAGACAUCCUUCAAAAUGAAGUGUCAGAAGAUAGCAAGACAAGUAAACGCAAGUAUGAACAAAUGACACCACUUGGGAAGUGAACUCCUCAUUACUUGUUGAAUUUCACAUUCAUUGAGUAUCUUUUACACAAUAUUAUUGUUAGUGCUUUAAACAAAACCUCCAUAUAAGGAAUUAUUACUUGUAAUAAGAUAUAAAUAUUCAACAAGAAUAGUUUUGAUAAAGAACCUCAUGUAGUUCAAAUUCUAAUAUGUACUGACCGAAAGAAAAAAAAGUAACAAACUGUGUUUGUUUAAACAUGUUUAUUACAACAGAUACAAUUCACAUCUGACUAGCUUUGUUUCUCCUUUCCCCUCCCACAACCAUGUUCAUUGGGCCACUUCCUUGUAUUUGAGCAGUCAAUGUACUUCCAGCACACUUGCCCAGCAGUACUUUAAGUCC
rnacentral:lncRNA from 1 species